GCGCCCGUAGCUCAGCUGGUUAGAGCAUCACACUUAUAAUGUGGGGGUCGAUGGUUCGAGUCCAUCCGGGCGCACCA
rnacentral:tRNA from 3 species